ensembl:lncRNA
CACUGUUCGCACACUUCUGUUAGUACAGAAUUUCCUGUCUGUUCUCUUAGAGAAGUUCCUCUUAUCCUCAGAUCUUCACCUAAGUAUCAGGGAGAGACAAAUCUGUAGCCUCGAGUUUUCUUGUGAAGAUGGUUGUCACAGUAUGGAUGCAGGAAAUGGGGGAACAAAAUUAGGGGGUGGGAAUCCUGAGAUAAAAGAAUCAUGAACGGUGCUGCAAGGCACUCCCAGCCAUACUACACUUUUUGUGCCAUUGCCCUGUUUACAGUGGAUUAGAUGAGGAAUAGUUCCAUACUUGGAGAGAUAUUCAAGGAAGAAGCUGAUCUGCAGUGAAUGCCAGCUGGAAAUCAGAAGAUAAAAGAAGAGCAAAUGCACUCUGGGAACUCCAGUAUUCCACAGACACUUCAAGAACAUCUCACAGGAGCUGAAGGCCACCAUUAAUAGGAUAAACACGGGCUUCACACGAAAGCAUUUAACCUCUCCUUAUAACUCUGGAGAACUGAGCGUGAGCAUAACCUGGAUGGGGGCCAUCUGAGAGCACAUAACCUGGAUGGG